GUCAAUCUAAUAAUUUUCCAUCUUGCACAGAACUUGACAGCAUUUUCACUUGAGAUUUUCAGAUUUUCAGAUAUGAUUUUGGCCUCUAAAGAAUAGCUCUAGCUAAGGGUUUGAUCAUCGGAGAAAUUUCAAUGAGAGAGAAAAUCUUUGCCAUAACUUGAUGUGGCAAGUCUACUUGUUGGUUGGUGCACCUUUGCCACUGCAUUCAUUGCC
rnacentral:lncRNA from 1 species